GAAAAGGUUGACUUUAGACUUUUACCUUUCAUUUGGGUCUCAAAUGGAAAGAAAAUAAAUCCAGAAUCUGCUUAAAUUUUGGUAAAUGACCUUUUAUGAGCUAUUGAAGUCUUAUUUGAAAAGAUAAAACAGGUGUUUUGUGGCAAAAUAUUUUACCCUGUAUCAUAGGCAAAAAACCACACUCUAACAUCAUUCAUAAAUUCCUAAACCGCAACUAAGUACCUCUUUUCCUCCCAUUUAAAAAUAAUA
rnacentral:lncRNA from 1 species